CCUACGGGAGGCAGCAGUGGGGAAUAUUGCACAAUGGGGGAAACCCUGAUGCAGCGACGCCGCGUGAGUGAAGAAGUAAUUCGUUAUGUAAAGCUCUAUCAGCAGGGAAGAAAAUGACGGUACCUGAGUAAGAAGCCCCGGCUAACUACGUGCCAGCAGCCGCGGUAAUACGUAGGGGGCAAGCGUUAUCCGGAUUUACUGGGUGUAAAGGGAGCGUAGACGGCAGUGCAAGUCUGGAGUGAAAGGCUGGGGCUCAACCCCAGGACUGCAUUUGGAACUGUCAUGCUAGAGUGUCGGAGAGGCAGGCGGAAUUCCUAGUGUAGCGGUGAAAUGCGUAGAUAUUAGGAGGAACACCAGUGGCGAAGGCGGCCUGCUGGACGAUGACUGACGUUGAGGCUCGAAAGCGUGGGGAGCAAACAGGAUUAGAUACCCUAGUAGUC
rnacentral:rRNA from 1 species